rnacentral:rRNA from 1 species
AGUGAACGCUGGCGGUAGGCCUAACACAUGCAAGUCGAACGGCCGCACAGUAAGCUCUUGCUCUUACCGUUGGCGAGUGGCGGGUGGGUGAGGCAUACAUCGGAUUCUUCUUUUUCGUGGGUGAUAACGUAGGGACACUUACGCUAAUACCUCAUACGACCUACCGGUUAAAUCAGUGGAUCUUCGGACCUUUCCCGAUUCAAUUAGCCGAUGUCGGAUUAGCUAGUUGGCGGGGUAAAGGCCCACCAAGGCGACGAUCCGUAGCUGGUCUGAGAGGAUGAUCGGCCACACUGGAACUGAGACACGGUCCAGACUCCUACGGGAGGCAGCAGUGGGGAAUAUUGGACAAUGGGCGAAAGCCUGACGCAGCAAUGCCGCGUGAGUGAAGAAGGUCUUCGGAUUGUAAAGCCCUGUUGUUGGGAAAGAAAAGAAGUAGGUGAAAAUACGGAUGUUUUGACGGUACCUAAAGAAUAAGCAACGGCUAACUUCGUG